UCCAUCCAGGAUUGAAAUCAGUUUACAAGUACGCUUCUAUCCUUUCCAACCAUGCUAUGUGAUUCACUUCCGCUGAGCUUGGCGGAAAUUACACGGCACUAAAUAUUGAGUUCACAUUUUACCAGCGCUGGUAUAUAGUGCAGCAUCACUCAACAGUCGCUUCUCCUCCGCUGCGGACCAUAUUACCACACUGCUACACAUGCGCGGGAUUUGACCACUAAGGACAUCACGCAACAGAUAGAAGCUACAGGCAAGAAUCUGUGUCGUCCGAGAACUAAUUAAAACGGAGGUACCGUGCCCGUUUUCUUCAUUUCUCCCUGGAUGUUGUUUUGAUACUACACCAUUCACGUCAUGCCUAUCAACCAAGUCCAAAACCUUCAGAAACAAUUAGCCCAAUUAAAGGAA